ACCAGCGUGGUGUAGUGGUUUGAGUGUUAGACAUUGACUCUGGAGACCAGGGAUCGAAUCCCAGCUUAGCCA